GGUGGCUCAGUGGUAGAGCACUUGCCUUGCAUCCAUGAGGCCCUGGGUUCGAUUCCUUAGCACCA
rnacentral:tRNA from 1 species